GCUGCCGGGCCGGGGUGCGUCUCCGGGCUCCGGUCGGGACCCAGGACCAAGCCGCACACGCCCGGCAGGAUCCCUGGCCGCUGCGGACACUCACCCGCACCUGCCUCCGGUCCUCCUGGGCACGUCUCUCUUGCUCGAUUUGCUACGUAAGUGACUAGGUACCAGCACCAACUCCAAGUCGCCUCCGUGGUUUUCUGGAGGAGAGGAGAGGUUUUUCCGAGGCGAGACUGCCCUACCACUGCCAUCUAAUGAAUAACUGCUGCGGAGCCCAGGUCCUCAGAGGGGGACAGCGCAGCCCUGGCAGGAGGAAGAGUUUGAAAUGCGUGGACUUUUAAAAACAGGGAUUGGACCACGUGUCGCCUUUAAUGUGGCCCGCUCAUGACUCAGGCUAAUUGGUGUCAAUAAUAAAUAAGAAGGAGAUGGCUAAUAAAAGAGUUGUGAAUGUCUAGAUCCACUAGAAGUGUUUUGUCUCAAAAGCAAUCACGGUUGGGUAAGGGGGUUUGUUCUAAAGGAAAGGUGGGUUUUUUCUAUGACUCUAAUUGUAAAAGGUUUCCGCGUGACGUUAUGCAUCCUGUCAUUCAUGUUAAUUUUGAAAUUGUUAAGAGCUGAAAACAAACCAAAAGCUAUCAUAACGGAAACUUAGCCUUAUUUUUCACUAUAUUUAUUCCCUAGAUCAUUCUUCCUCUUGGAAAUUUUUCGUUCAAUUCAGCAAGUCAGUUGUAUAGAAGGGAAAUAAACCUUUUUUUAUUUAAGAGAGUUAUUCAUUUGAGAUUGUUUUGUUUAUUUGAAAUUCAAGUUAAUUUUUAAAUAAAAUAUUUUAGUGUUAGGUGUUCCUGGAUUUUAACAAAGAAAUAUAAUCAUAAAAAAGAAACUUAAAUUUGGCAUAUAUCAAUUAAAAUUAUAAACUGAAUAAUUAGAAUUUAUGCUGCUAAUUUCUAAAUAUUUCUUCAGAGAUUUUCAGCUUGAGGUUGAUCUUCAUACCUAUAAAUCCACUUUGGUGUUAGAUGUAAAGCAAUAUCAAUAUUAUGUGCUUAUUAUAUUUAGUGCCCAGAAUUUUUAAUAGAUACUUGUAAAUUACAACAAAUUUUAGAGCCUACUUUUUAAAGGCUAAUAUAAAACCUUUAAUUCCUACAUAAUAUAUUUUUAGUGCCUAAUGAAUUAUUUCUAAGAACAUAAGGAGGAAUAUAAAGAGAAAUGCAUGCAGUUAGCUAAAUUGUAGGGUUUAGUUUUUUUUAUUCAAAACAAUUUUUCAUUUGUGAAUUUUAAAAAUUAUCUGUUUUCUUGAAGUAGUGGGAAAUCAAUAGGAUUAAGGUAUUUUAGAAAGUGUAUUUAGCUUAGUAUUUUAGUAUAUUUUAUAUAACUUAGGAUUUUAGGGAAAAAUCAAAAUGAAGGUGGCAAAAAAUUUUGGUUGAAAAUGCAAACUAAUUUGACCACAUGAACAAAGAGGGUGAUUUUUAUUUCUUCAGUUAUGCUCUACCUACCGAAGUCAAACUUCUUUUUUAAACCUUGGAUUAAAAAAUCACAUAGAAAAAAUUUAAUUGUAAUCUUUGCUUUAUGACUGCAUUAACAAUGCAUCACACUUUUUGUUUUUCACAAUUUUCCCCAAAUGUCUUAUUGAUGCCCCCACUUUUGGAACAGAAACAGGUUACUUGUUUUCAUUUCUUAAAAACUCUGCUUAUCUGAAAUUAUCUUUCUAAACAUACCAGACUCUCCCAAACUGUAACACGUAUCAAGUAAAAAUAUGAGAAACAACUAAAUGACAAGUGAUAAUAUUGUGAUAUACUCCCAGAAUGGAGUGUUACUCAUCAUGAAAAACUAAUAGACUACAAGCUACACACAACAUGGAACACAAUGUUGAGUGAAAUAGGCAAGUUCCAGAACAUUCUAAAUGGCAUUUUAUAAACCUCAAAAACAAACAAAACUAAAAAUAUAUGAUAAAAAAAUUUUUAAGCAAGGAAAUUAAAUAUGUGAUAAAUUUUUGUUUGUUUUGUUCCAGCAAGAGGGUGAAUGAAGGACCCAAAAUUCAGGAUCGCAGCUGACUCUGGGAGGAGGAGACAGGAAAAGCCCAUGGCCAUAAACAAUGAUCUUGGAAAAGCUCUCAUUCUUGGGGAUAGUGAAUUUAUAGAUUUUGUUUUAAUUACUUUGCUUUAUAACUAACACAUAUGCUAUACAUAUUUGGAAGUAUAAAAUAUUAAAGAAGACAAAGAAAAAUAAGAGAUUCAUGAAAGAGAUCAUCCCAGUUUUCUGAUGAUUCUUCCAGAUUCCAAGCUGUUUGUAGAAAUAAGCUUGGAAGCGUUGGAGAACUACUGGAGUGAUAAACACUUAAUCUAGAUCUUUUCCUUAAGGAUACAUUUGAGAAGAAUGUGUAUCCAUAUCAUAUCAAUGCAAUUUAAGACACAAACAAAUAGCGGAACAAAAAAUUUUAAAAUAAUUAUUGACUUCAUAGGUAAUUGAGUUAAUUAAUUAAGAGUGCAUUACAUAAGAACAAACAAAUCUGUCUUGGAAGAAGUACAGCCAGAAUGCUCCUUGGAAGCGAGGGUAGCAAGAUUUCGUCUCGUGUAAUUUGGACAUGUUAUCAGGAGGGAGGAAACCCUGAUGAUGCAGUGGUUAAGUGCUACGGCUGCUAACCAAAGGGUCGGCAGUUCAAAUCUGCCAUGCGCUCCUUGGAAACUCUAUGGGGCAGUUCUGCUUUUGUCCUAUAGGGUCGCUAUGAGUGGGAAUCGACUUGACAGCACUGGGUUUGGUCUUUUUUUGGAUCAGGAGGGACCAGUCCCUGGGGAAUGACAUUAUGCUUGGUAAAGUAGAGGAUCAGUGAAAGAAAGGAAGAGCCUCAAAGAGAUGGAUUGACACAAUGGCUGCGACAAUGGGCAAAGAUUGUGAGGAUGGCACGAGACCAGGCAAUGUUUCGUUCUGUUGUACAUAGGUUCACUAUGAGUUGGAACUGACUUGAGGGCACCUAAUAAUAACAACACGUAAACUACGUGGCAGUUUCCUAUAAUGUUAAACUUAUGACCUAGCAGUUCAACCCCUAGGUAUUUACCCAAAAGAAAUGAAAACAUAUAUCCACAAAAAUAUCUGUAUGGGAAUGUCCAUAGCUGCUUUAUUCAUAACAGCAAAAAACUGGAAACAACCGAAAUGUACAUCAAAGGGAAAAAGGACAAACAAAUUUCGACGUAGCCAUUCAAUAUGAUACUGUUUAUCGAUAAAGAGGGACAAACUAGUAACACAUCCAAAAACAUGUAUGAGUCUCAAAAGCAUGAUUCUGAGUGAAAGAAAUCUGACACCAAAUAGUACACAUUGUAUUAGGCCAUUUACAUGAAAUUCAAGAACAGGCAAAACGGACCUGUGAGCUAGAAACCAGAACCAUGAUUACCUCUGGCAGAGGCAGAGGGAGGUGACUAGGCACAGAGAAGAACAGAGAACGUUCUAGGAUGAUGGCAAUGCUCUGUAUCUUUUUUUAUUUUUUGCAAUGCUCUGUAUCUUGAUUAAGGAGCUCUGGUGGAGCCAUGGUUAAACGCUUGGCUGCUAACUGAAAGGUUGGUGGUUCAAACCCACUCAGUGGCUCUGAGGGAGAGAAACCUGGUGUUCUACUGCUGUAGAGAUUAAAAAAAAAACCUUCGGGGCAUUUCUACUCUGUCACACAGGGUUGCUCUGGGUCAGAAUCCACUUAACAGCACCUAACAACAACACAUCUCAAUUGGUGUGUUGGCCAAACUAAAAAAAAAAAAAAAAAACCCUUUGCUGUAGAGUUGCUUCCAACUCCUAGUGACCCUAUAGGACAGAGUAGAACUGCCCCAUGGGGUCUCCAAGGAGCGCCUGGUAGAUUCGAACUGCUGAUCUCUUGGUUAGCAGCCAUAGCUCUUAGGCGCUACGCCACCAGGGUUUCCGUUGGCUAUAUUUGUGUAUGUAUUUAUCAAAAACACAGAACUAUACCCUUGAAAUGGGCACAUAUCAUAUCUCAAAAAAAUAAAAAUUGAAGAGUGCAUUAUGUAACUUAGAAAUGUUGCAGCUGUUCGAAUAAACUGUAACGUAAUUCUUCUCAUUUUUUCUUACGUGAGUGUAUGUAGUAGAGAUGCUCUCCUCCAAGCUUCCCAUCCGCAGCUGUGUCUUUAGAAGGAUGGACUUUUCAGAGGUGUAUCUGCCUCAGGUGCCCUGCAAGAGGCUUUAGCUGUGCAAGGUGCCAAAGAAGAGGUUUCCACGAGUGCAGUCCAGGAGCAGACAAGACACGAGUGAUGCACGAGUUGGCUCCAGUCCAACAUAGCCACAAACAAUGUGAGUCUCUAUCUCCUUGAGAUCUGUGUACACUCAGCUUGAGAAGAAACUAGCUCUGCAGAGAUAGACAGCUCACAGGGCCAAAAUGCUGACAUUCCUCCCGGAUACUUCAGAAGCAAUGUGGAGGUUUCUGAGAGCAUUUGGGCAGAAAUAGCCAGAUUGAUGUCUUUUGUGACUACUUUCAGCACCGUGUUCAGCAAAACAUCAAUAAGGGAAGUCCUUGGAAAACCCAGGCCUUAUCCCGGAGUAACAAGCAUGCUUGGGACCUCUAUAGACUCAAGGUGCAGACUGGAAGCUUCCCAUCUCUGCACCAAUGCUCUGGGCAUGGGCCUCCACAGACGGGCAUGAGCCUGUGCCAGUGCUUUAAGGGUGGGCAUGCUGGACUCCCCCACAUGGUCAUUAAGUACUGUUAGGAGUGCUGGCAUUUGAUUUGUUGGUAUUGAUUAAGAAUAUGACUGUACUAUUAAGUGCCAGAAGAACAAACAAAUCAGUCUUAGAAGAAAUACAACAACAAUGCUCCUUAAAAGUGAGGAUGUCAGGACUUCACCUUGCUUACUUUGGACUCAUCAUCGGGAGGCACCAAUCGCUGGGGAAGAACACCAUGGUUGGUGAAGUAGAGGGUCAGCAAAAGAGAGGAAGAGCCUAAAGGAAAUGGAUUGACACAGUGGUUGCAACAAUAGGCUGAAACAUAGUGACGAUUAUGAGGAUGGCACACAAGCAGGCAACAUUUUCUUCUGUUAUACGUAAGGUUGCUAUGAGCUGGAGCUGAUUUGAUGGCAAAUGACAACAGGGAACGCUGUAAUAGUGCCUCUGCUGUGUCACUUGUCAUUCCUGGUGGUCCGUCUCUGAGAUGGGUGUGCCCUUUUAAGUCUUCCACGUAAUUACUUUUCAAACGUGUCAAUAGUAAGGAUCUCUGCCUGGCAGAGAGUGCGAAAUGAUGCCUCUUCAUUUUUGAAAUGCAUCAUGGAUACACCUGAAAAAAAAAAGUGGAGUUAAAUCAAAAUUUCUGUUCCCUCUGAUGAAUGUCACCUGCUCUGAGAUGUUUUAUCAGCAGUACAUGUCUGCCCUGCCCUGCCCCACUCGGCAAAGCUGUGUGACUUUCUGCAGGUCACUUCGCCUCUGUUUUCUCCUCUGCAAAAUGACCCUGUUGGAGUAGACCUUCCUGCUCUAAAAUGCCAUGAUUCCUCAUUUGUUUAGUUUUUAAUUGACAGGUGGUACUUUGGGACCUCAUACUUUAGCUAUAUGUUUCUUACCUUUAUAGCUUUAUAAGGUCACUAUGAAUCACAAUCAACUUGAUGGCAACGAGUUUGGUUUGUUUGGUCUCCUAACUCUGCCCUCUCUGUCUAGUAGUUAAUAGUCUAUAAAUCAACGCACAGGCAGUAGCAGUCAAGCUCAGGGAAUAAUCGCUUCAUAAUUUGUUUUAUUAAUGCAUAUUUUUCACACGUUAGGGUUUCUUAGAGAAGUACACAUUUUUUUUAGCAGUGCUGAAUUCUCAUAUUUAUUUUCCUAAGAAUAAGAGUGUGGAAAGACAAGUAGAAACAUCACCAUGGCAGGGAGAAGGGGCCACAGAUCAUCAACAAAGGCGCUCAUCUCGCAACUGAUCAGGGGGAAUGUUUCUGCAAAAUGUUCUUUUUGGAAUAUUAAGUUCUGUUAUUAUUGUUCUUAGCUGCCGCUGAGUCAGCCCCCAACUCGUAACAACCCCGUGUACAACAGAAAGAAAUGCUACCCAGUCCUGCACCAUCCCCACGAUCAGCUGCAGGUGAACAAUUGUGAUCCAUUGGGUUUUCAUCGCCUGGUUUUCAGAAGUAGGUCACCAGGCAUUUCCUCCUAGUCCAUCUGAGUUUAGAAGCUCUGCUGAAACCUGUUCAGCAUCUUAGCAACACACAAGUCUCCACUGAGGUGCAUUGGCCAGGAGUAAAGCCCACAUCUCCCACAUGGAAGACAAGGACUGUACCACCGAACCACAAGUGCAUAUUAAGCUCUAGUGGAACCUUAUUCUGUAGAAUAUGUUUGUACAUUUAUUCAGCAAAUAUUUAUUUAGAAACUUUGAUGUGCCAGGCUUUCUACUAGCAACAAAUUCUGUGUCUGGCCUCACAGACAGGUUAGGAACAAGCAAGAUCUUGAAAUUAUGCAGAUGACUGCUACUCUGUGGUGCGGAUACCUCAUCUGGUGAACCAAAGUUCAUUUGCAUUUGUCCUUGGAAAACUAUUGACCAACCAGAGGACAGAAUACUGAUGCAGGCACCAGAACAGGAAAGCAGCUGGUACUACACCCCAUGAGAAAUGGAAAAGACAACAGAAAAAGAAACUAGUUUGCCCUACCAGGAAGGGAAGCGUUAAACCUUUUCAUGGCCAGUGGAAUGUACAAUUGCUCACCAAUACUUUCUAUCUCUCAGGUUCAUUGGGAAGCUGCUUUCCCACUGAUAGUGCACGCUGCUUCAAGACAGGGGGCUUUAUGGUUGUUUGAAACUGAAAAAAUAGGUAUGUGCCACAAAUUACUGUUUCUAGAGGGAGUUUUAUGAGGUAUGUGCAUUUUUGGUAGGCAAAAUAGAAAUUUUGAAAAUUUUGGAGGGACACAUAUGUCCCAGUGGACUCAGGAUGGGAGAAUUAGUGAGACAAUGUAUGUUCCUCUGGGCUCUAAGGGUAAGCUUGUGGGAGAGGCCAAGAAAAAAAAAAAAUUCAUAGUACCUACCCAAAAUUCAACAACACUCAGUGAUUCAGCAUGCUUCUAUUAAGAAAAACACUUGGUAUAAACAAAAAGUUUCAAAGCAAAAAAUAAUUCGGUCUUGAGAGGGUUAUAUGACUUCUAGUUUCCAGCACCUGAAAAAUCACAAUUGGGCUUGAUUCAUACGACUCCAACAGGUAGAACUAGACCAACAGGAAGGAAGACAGAUUUCAGCUCUUUUUCAAAAGUUUUCGUCUUCGCCAAUAGGAGCAAGUACUUAGCACUACCUUGCAGUCUGCUUGGAGCACUGCCUUGUACUCAGGGAGAGCUCUCCGUCACUGAAAUGUCCAUGUAGAAACAGAAUCCACAACUGCGGAAACUGUCCAGAGACAUGCUGGGAUGAUGGAGAGGAUGACAGGGUAAUCUCUGAGGUUUCUUCCAGUCCCGGGAUCACAGAAACUCCGACGAAAUAGCUCCUGAAAGAAGCUCAAGGCCCACUUCCAAAAGCCUGAAAUGUCGAGUUAAGAGAUCAAUUAUUGCUGUCAAACCAGAUAUAUUGUGGGAGAUGGCUGAGGCAAGAGGGAACCAAGUCCUCAAAUCAACUAUUUCUUCAAGGAGCCCUGGUCCCCAAAAUUUGGAGUUUGGAGUCCACCCAGAGGUGCCUCGAAAGAAUGGCCUAAUGAUCUACUUCUGAAAAAUCAGCCAUUGAAAACCCUGUAGAGCACAGUUCUACUCUGAAACAUACGGAUUAGGAUCAACUCAACGGCAAGUGGUUCCAGUACACUGAUAUAUGUUUGUUGUUGUUAGGUGUGGUUGGGUUGCUUCAACUCAAUGUGACCCUAUGUACAACAGAAUGAAACAUUGCACAAUCUUCACAAUCAUUAGUGUGCUUCAGCCCAUUGUUGCAGCCACCUUGUCAAUCCAUCUCACUGAUGGUUUGAUAUAUAUUAAACCAACUAUACAGUUUUUUUUUAUACAGUUCAUAUGAAGCUAAACAUGAGCUCAUUCUGAUGUCUCCAACUCUAAUCCAGUUCCAUGUAGAUGGUUCUAGCCUAUUCUAUGUUCUUGUCUGUAAAUUCCCACUCCCACAGUGAGAAACCUGGAUCCCACCAUCUGCCAUCCAUUUACUUAAUGGUUCAAUUUAUAAUUUUUUUAAAAGAAGAAAAAUAAAAGCUGCAGGGAAAUGCUUUAACUAAUCGAAUCAAGGUGCCUAGAAUUGGAUUCUGUUGUCUGUGAUCAAUUACCCUGACAGGGAUGGUGACCAACGACUGCUUUGUUUCCUUCCACCAAGGGUUCCUCUGUGGUGUUCCAGGAAUUUGGAAGAGGGCUGCAAAGUUCUGCCCAGGCUGGGAGGGGGUAGAAAGAAGUCUUAAAGACAUGACCAGUUCCCCUGCCCAAACUCCAGGUUGGCUCUGCUUCAAGCUGUUUUAUAGAUUGGAUUUUGGCUCAGUAGUUCAUUUGGAAAAAAUGAUUCCAUUACUUAAAAA